CAAUUUUUGUACUGCACAAAAGCUCUGACUGCUCUGAUAUGGCUCAGCACUUUUGUCUGUGCAAAAAUGGC
rfam:Caenorhabditis remanei strain PB4641 contig93.9, whole genome shotgun sequence.